UCUGCCUCCCGAGUGCUGGGAUUAAAGGCAAGCAUCAUCACUGCCUGGCUUUUUGUUGUUGUUUUUAAAGAGAAUGUAAAAGGUGCAACUUGAAGUCCACCUCAGCAGGUGUGUUUAACCCCAUGGUUUGUGCAUGCAUAGCUACAGACCUUGUAAAGGUCUCUGGAGAGGAUGAUUUGGAAAGGUAACAUGGGCAGACCAUACUAAAAAAAAAGGUGGGGGUGCUUUGGGUGACAAAAGUAAGUAUCCUACAGCAGAAAGGGAAGAUGUCAUGAGCCUGAGUCCUGGGAGUUCAAGAGCUGGUGAAGCAAGACCUACAAACUGCCUGGAUGAAUGGCUGAGUGACAGGCAAGAAGUCACAAAGCACAGGUGUUCUCCCAAGCACAAUCAUAACCAGGUGCUGCUUAGUGAAGGCACCGGUUGUAGAAUACAGACACAGACAUCCUGUCAUACCAGCAUGUUCUCUGAAACACUGUCCUCUACAAGUAGUGAUUUCCUGUAUUAGUUUUUCCUGUGUGUGUUUUUGUUGUUGUUGCUUUUUUAAAAAAUUUAUUUAUGUUUUGCCUAUAUGUAUAUCUGUGCACAACAUGUGUAAGGCCAGAAGAGAGCAUCAGAUCCCCUGGAACUGGAGUUACAGACAGUUAUGACCUGCCAUGUGAUUGCUGGGAAUUGAACCUGGGUCCUCUGGAAGAGCAGCCAGAGCUCAUUACUGCUGAGCCACCACUCUAGCCCAAGUUUUGGAGGAGGAGGAGAAAAGGGAAGAGGAGGAGGAAGAAGAAGAUGAUGAUGAUGAAGAAGAGGAUUAUUCAUUCCAGUUCUGGGGAAUUCAAUGCUGGUUACUGGAGAUAAUAGGGAGCUGAAGAAGUAUGUUGGCUGCAGGAAUCACACAGAAAAGUAGCUACUGAGCCGAAAAAAGGAGGCAGACACAGGAAAAAUACCCUGGAGUCCAUGGUCCAGUACAUUCAAAGACAAUGAGAAGACAAAUGUGAUAAUCAGAUUGGUAGCCAUCUUGGUGCCAUGAGGAAAUGGGUAUGAAGGCAAGAAGAAGAGAUGGAAUCUGAGUCCUUGGUGAUGAUUAACUAAGCAGGAACUUGCUGCUACUCCUGGCCUUACAUGGAAUAAACAUGCCUAUUGCUUAAA